AGGGAAUAUUGGUCAAUGGGUGAGAGCCUGAACCAGCCAUGCCGCGUGCAGGAAGAAGGCCUUCUGGGUUGUAAACUGCUUUUGCCAGGGGAUAAAAUUUCUUUGCGAAGAAAAUUGAAGGUACCUGGUGAAUAAGCCACGGCUACCUACGUGCACGCAGCCGCGGUAAUACGUAGGUGGCAAGCGUUGUCCGGAUUUAUUGGGUUUAAAGGGUGCGUAGGCGGCCAUAUAAGUCAGUGCUGAAAUAUCCCGGCUUAACCGGGAGGGUGGCAUUGAUACUGUAGGGCUUGAGUGUAGUCGAGGUAGGCGGAAUUGACGGUGUAGCGGUGAAAUGCUUAGAUAUCGUCAAGAACACCGAUAGUGUAGACAGCUUACUAGGCUACAACUGACGCUGAGGCACGAAAGUGUGGGGAUCAAAC
rnacentral:rRNA from 1 species